GAUGAACGCUAGCGGCAGGCUUAAUACAUGCAAGUCGAGGGGCAGCACGGUUAGCAAUAACUGGUGGCGACCGGCGCACGGGUGCGUAACACGUAUACAAUCUACCUUAAACAGGGGGAUAGCCUUUCGAAAGAGAGAUUAAUACCCCGUAAUAAAUUGAACGGCAUCGUUUGAUUUUGAAAGUUCCGACGGUAAGAGAUGAGUAUGCGUCUGAUUAGCUAGUAGGUGAGGUAACGGCUCACCUAGGCAACGAUCAGUAGGGGAUCUGAGAGGACUAACCCCCACACGGAUACUGAGACACGGAUCCGACUCCUACGGGAGGCAGCAGUAAGGAAUAUUGGACAAUGCCCGCAAGGGUGAUCCAGCCAUGCCGCGUGCAGGAAGACGGCCCUAUGGGUUGUAAACUGCUUUUUAUACAAGAGAAAAACCCAUCUACGUGUAGAUGGCUGAUAGUAUUGUAGGAAUAAGCAUCGGCUAACUUCGUGCCAGCAGCCGCGGUAAU
rnacentral:rRNA from 1 species